GGCUCUGUGACGCAACAGGUAGCGUGUUAGACUUCUAGUUACACUGUGAAAAAGUGAUUCAAAGGUUGUGGGUUUGAGUCCCACCAGAGUCA
rnacentral:tRNA from 1 species